rnacentral:rRNA from 1 species
UACAGACGGUCCAAACGUUAUUCGGAAUCACUGGGCUUAAAGAGUUCGUAGGCGGUCAGGAAAGUGGGGUGUGAAAGCCCUCGGCUUAACCGGGGAAUUGCGCUCCAAACUCCCUGACUUGAGGAGGCUAGAGGUAAGCGGAACUGAUGGUGGAGCGGUGAAAUGCGUUGAUAUCAUCAGGAACACCGGAGGCGAAGGCGGCUUACUGGGGCCUUUCUGACGCUGAGGAACGAAAGCUAGGGGAGCGAACGGG